UAUUAUUUUUUACAACAGUCCUAUUCGGAAGACAUAACGAAAAGUUAUCAAAUGAGGUUAUGAGUUCUCUUUAUUUUUUGAAGUAUAUAUUAUGUAAUAUUUCAUAAUAUUUUCAUAUACAGCAAGCAUGUUUUUCCAUACCAGAUUAGUAUUUAUACUACAAAUACGUUUCUCGUACCAAAAGGGGAGUAGCGGCUCUUGAUCUCCGUAUCCUAAUCAUCCUACGGCAGUGGUUUUCUCGGCCUUGAUGGUAAUUAAAUGGUUGGCAAGGGGCUAUUAACCGGCCAAAAAUCGAGACGGAGCCCUAAGCCGGAAGGAGACCAGUUUUCCCGGCUCCAUCGAAGGAUUGGCUGAUACAAGAUGAAGCGGUCUGCGGAGGAUGGAUAUAUGCUGGCUAACUGCUUUUGUAACAGAGGCAAAUAUGGGCAUACAGGAGUAAGGGAGCAUGAUCUGAUAUUACUGACGCUGCACUGAAAGCUUGCUAAGAAGAAAUAGAGGAGCUCCUUGUUAUCACUUUUAUGCUCCAACAAUGUAAUUAUAUAUUUGUAAGAUAUCAAUGUUUUUUUACAGUUGAUCACUAUAAAUUUGACUGUAGUGAUGAUGAUUGUGGAAGCAGCAAGGUUCACUGAUAUCUUGUUGUAAUUGUGUGGUUAUCAUACAAUCAUCCUUGAUCAUGACUUUGUUUGAAUGCAUUACUUUUUUACUUUUA